CACUUAUGGUCUUGUGUCCUAUACUUCAUGUGUGAUGCCACCAGAAAUGUUAUGGAUUCCGUAUUGAACACACUGAGAGUGGUAUGAGCCCUCAGGACUGCACCACAGAGUAAACACAACCUUGAUAUGGUGGCGAAUAUGUGUGUCUUUCUUGUUUCAUUUGUGGUUGGGGACAAAAUCGAUGUAUUUGUCUAAAUAGUCGAUAUUCAUCUUAACAUGGUUGGUUGUGUAAUCACCAGCUAUAUUGUGAACUGUGCAAUAAAACAGAAGCGUUUGUGUAUAUAAUUACCUUUGGAUACCUGAAAUUCCCAAGCUUGGUUACAAUGUAAUGCUCAGUAUAAGGCUGUGCAAACAUGUAAGGGAAUAAUGGUGGUCGAUGGGAUAUAUGAAAUGGGAUCUAGAGGGCUUCGAGUGAAGCCAAUCAUGUUGAACGAACACUGGUUCAGUGUAGAUGAAGUAGAGUGAGGCGUAUGCAGUCAUAAAAUGAAGGGUGGACAGGAGAUUACAUUUGAAGAAAGGAUAAGCACUCAGACUUGGUCUCUUUUAAAUUAAAAUAUUUCUUUUCUCAUGUGCAAAUGUAUAUCAAAGACUUGAACAGGUAUUCUCUUGAAAUUUGAGGAUUUUUAGUUUUUAAUGCUGUCUUUGCUUAAUAUUAAAUAUGUGUUGCCUAUUGGCUCCCAAAUUGUGUGGGAGUCUCUAAAUGUUUCCUCUUGAAGGUUCAUUAUUGAAAGUGGUUAAGUGCACAAUGCUAUUUUUGUUUGAUAGUUUGAGUUUUAUGACCCUAUGAGUUUAAAUGAAAUCUGUUAAAUGUUUCAGAGUUAACACUUUUUUUUUGAUAAUUUGGAAUAAAGUUUGUUUUUUAAGCCCA
rnacentral:lncRNA from 1 species